rnacentral:rRNA from 1 species
UCAGGCCUAACACAUGCAAGUCGAACGAGACCUUCGGGUCUAGUGGCGCACGGGUGCGUAACGCGUGGGAAUCUACCCUUGGGUUCGGAAUAACAGUUAGAAAUGACUGCUAAUACCGGAUGAUGACGAAAGUCCAAAGAUUUAUCGCCCAUGGAUGAGCCCGCGUAAGAUUAGCUUGUUGGUGGGGUAAUGGCCUACCAAGGCGACGAUCUUUAGCUGGUCUGAGAGGAUGAUCGGCCACACUGGGACUGAGACACGGCCCAGACUCCUACGGGAGGCAGCAGUGGGGAAUAUUGGACAAUGGGCGAAAGCCCGAUCCAGCAAUGCCGCGUGAGUGAUGAAGGCCUUAGGGUCGUGAAGCUCUUUUACCAGGGAUGAUA